UGGGGAAUAUUGGACAAUGGGCGCAAGCCUGAUCCAGCCAUGCCGCGUGAGUGACGAAGGCCUUAGGGUUGUAAAGCUCUUUUAGCGGGGACGAUAAUGACGGUACCCGCAGAAUAAGCCCCGGCUAACUUCGUGCCAGCAGCCGCGGUAAUACGAAGGGGGCUAGCGUUGUUCGGAAUUACUGGGCGUAAAGCGCACGUAGGCGGAUGUGCCAGUCAGGGGUGAAAUCCCGAGGCUCAAGCUCGGAACUGCCUCCGAUACAGCACGUCUCGAGUCCGGAAGAGGUGAGUGGAAUUCCUAGUGUAGAGGUGAAAUUCGUAGAUAUUAGGAAGAACACCAGUGGCGAAGGCGGCUCACUGGUCCGGUACUGACGCUGAGGUGCGAAAGCGUGGGGAGCAAACAGGAUUAGAUACCCCCGUAGUCCCUGAGCGGGCUGGCAAGGCGCAU
rnacentral:rRNA from 1 species